AUUGAACGCUGGCGGCAUGCCUUACACAUGCAAGUCGAACGGUAACGGGCCUUCGGGUGCCGACGAGUGGCGAACGGGUGAGUAAUGUAUCGGAACGUACCUUUCAGUGGGGGAUAACGUAGCGAAAGUUACACUAAUACCGCAUAUUCUGUGCGCAGGAAAGCAGGGGAUCGCAAGACCUUGCGCUGAUUGAGCGGCCGAUAUCAGAUUAGCUAGUUGGUGAGGUAAAGGCUCACCAAGACGACGAUCUGUAGCGGGUCUGAGAGGAUGAUCCGCCACACUGGAACUGAGACACGGUCCAGACUCCUACGGGAGGCAACAGUGGGGAAUUUUGGACAAUGGGGGCAACCCUGAUCCAGCCAUGCCGCGUGAGUGAAGAAGGCCUUCGGGUUGUAAAGCUCUUUCGGCCGGGAAGAAAUCGUAUCAGCUAAUACCUGGUGCGGAUGACGGUACCGGCAUAAGAAGCACCGGCUAACUACGUGCCAGCCGCCGCGGUAAAAC
rnacentral:rRNA from 1 species